rnacentral:lncRNA from 1 species
AAAGCAGCAUCUGCAAGAAAGCCCUCACCAGGACCAAAUCAGCUGACACCUCAACCUUGGACUACCCAGCUUCCCGAACUGUGAGUUUCUCCAUCAACUUAGCUGGCAGCUCCUGUCCCCAGCAGCAUCAGAGGCCCCAUGAAAAGAGCUCCAGCAGGGGCUCAGCCUGCACGGGUCCCAUGGGGCAGCCUCAGUGUCAGGGCCUGGAUGGCAGGUGAGACUCCAGUGACACAACCACAAUGUGAAAGUGUAAGAGUUUUUAACUACUUACAGAUACUGGAAAGCACAGGGCACACCUGGAGACCACAGACACUGGGGUCAGAGAGCCCAGGCAGGGAGGAGAGAAGGGAACUGUAGGCCAAUGGCUUUAUUGGGUCCAGGGUGUUGUUGACAGGUUUCCAGAAGGGAGCUUUAAUGGGUGUGUUUAAAGCAGGCAAACACUGGGGCAAGAAGAUCACACUGUGACUGAGAGGUGGUCACUUUAAAUUGGAGGGCAAAUGUCACAACUGUUUCAGUUUAAAGGAAGCAGCUGGCGAGAGGGGAGCCCAGCACACUAUGCAAGAGAGAUGCCUCUAAGAUUUUAUCUGUGGCCACCGACUGGAGCCAUUUGGACCGGGUACAGCAGUGGAAACUCUGUGAUGGUGACAAAUAUGGGAAUCACUCUGAUGUGACGCAGUUAAAUUUACACCUUAAAAAAUGGAUGCCAAGACAACAUAAACAAGACCCAGGGACACCAACAGGGUAUGGUGCUGUGCCCCAGAGUCAGGGUCCUGGGUUCUUACCCAGGGAAGUGAGAAAUAAAGAUAACUUUUCCCUGCUCCCUCUCUCCUCCCUGACACUGAUCUUCCCACCCUGCACCUCCCUCUUCUGCUCCCAAACCCCCACCCAGUGCUCAGUCCCAGACAUCACUGCCUGCAGGGCAUGCACAGUGCAGCCCACUGCACACAAACUACAAACUCACAGAAGGUGAUGACAAUUUGUGUUUGGGACGUCUGAUUGUGAAAGAGGGAGGACAGCGUACUUGCAGCCACAGAGACUGAAACUGGAACGUGAUGGAACGGGGCUGGAACGUGAUGGAACUCUGACAUAACAGACGUGUGACUUUGUGUGAAAUGUGCAGAUCCAUGUGGAAUAAAACACAGCCUAGCCUGUGGCUGCUGCCGUCCACAUUUCCCUCAUCUUCCAACAGAAGUCAGCAGGGUCCCUCCCAGCCUGGAACCUCCC